UACGUAGGGUCCGAGCGUUAAUCGGAAUUACUGGGCGUAAAGCGUGCGCAGGCGGUUUUGUAAGCCAGAUGUGAAAUCCCCGGGCUUAACCUGGGAACUGCAUUUGGGACUGCAAGGCUCGAGUACGGCAGAGGGAGUGGAAUUCCACGUGUAGCAGUGAAAUGCGUAGAGAUGUGGAGGAACACCGAUGGCGAAGGCAGCCUCCUGGGCCAGUACUGACGCUCAUGCACGAAAGCGUGGGGAGCAAACAGGG
rnacentral:rRNA from 1 species